UUGCUUCAGCAGCACAUAUACUAAAAUUGGAAAGAUACAGAGAUUAGCAUGGCCCCUGUGCAAGGGUGACAUGCAAAUUCAUGAAGAAUUCCAUGUUUUU
rnacentral:snRNA from 1 species